UGGAAUAGUAUUCAGCCGUUAAAAAGAAGAAAAUCGUGCCUUUUGCAGCAACACGGAUGAACCUGGAGGGCUUUAUGCUAAGUGAAAUAAGCCACUCAUUGAAGGACA